rnacentral:rRNA from 1 species
AACGAACGCUGGCGGCAGGCCUAACACAUGCAAGUCGAGCGCCCUUUCGGGGGAGCGGCGGACGGGGAGUAACGCGUGGGAAUAUGCCCUUCUCUACGGAAUAGCCUCGGGAAACUGAGAGUAUACCGUAUACGCCCUUAGGGGGAAAGAUUUAUCGGGGAAGGAUUAGCCCGCGUUGGAUUAGGUAGUUGGUGGGGUAAUGGCCUACCAAGCCGACGAUCCAUAGCUGGUUUGAGAGGAUGAUCAGCCACACUGGGACUGAGACACGGCCCAGACUCCUACGGGAGGCAGCAGUGGGGAAUCUUAGACAAUGGGGGCAACCCUGAUCUAGCCAUGCCGCGUGAGUGAUGAAGGCCUUAGGGUUGUAAAGCUCUUUCAGCUGGGAAGAUAAUGACGGUACCAGCAGAAGAAGCCCCGGCUAACUCCGUGCCAGCCGCCGCAGUAA